GGAGGAGAAUGAUAGAUGCUUCCUUGCUUCUUAUGUUCUGAAUAACAGUUCCCAUUAGCAGAACAAUGGGAAAGAGGGAUGGGGGGUGUCCAAGAAACCAAUUCUGCCAUUUAUGACACAGAGUGUCCGUUUCCUUUGAUCUUUGUCUGGUUUCCCUGGUGAAGAAGGGCCUUGUCUUUGCAUUUUCAUUGGAUGUGACUAGAUCCAUCUGGGGCUGACCAAGAUCCGUUGAUAUCAACUGGGAAAUAUCUUGAUUCAGGAAUAAUUCUGAGUUGUCUUUCUCCUGUCGUGUAGAAAGCUAAUGCUCUGAGAACAUCCAAUGUGUGGAGUGAGGCCUCCCUCCCAUCCGCAUGUGGCUUAGGAAAAAAUACAGAACAGGCCUUCUCGACCCCAGUCAGCCAUGGAGUAACCAGGCCUUGAGGUGGACUACUGCGAGGUUGGGGUAACAGGCGCGUCCUGCAUCUUGUGAUAGAAGGAGGCCGAGAUCUGCACAUGUGGACAGGAGCAGUUCCACAUGGGCCUGUACCUGGAACCAAGAGUUGCCCUUGAGAAGCCAAUUGUCCAGGUAUGGGAAGAUCUGCACACCUUCCCGUCGGAGGUAGGCCGCCACCACCACCAUACAUUUGGCAAACACCUUCGGCACUGUGGACAGCCCAAACGGGAGGACCGUAAACUGGUAGUGGUCCAACCCCACCAGGAAUCGGAGGAAACAUCUGUGCUCCUCAAAUAUAUGGAUGUGGAAAAACGCGUCCUGGAGGUCCAGGGCUGCAUACCAAUCCCCCGGGUCCAGAGUGGGAAUAAUAGAGGCUAGGGACACCAUGUGGAACUUGGAGCAGUCCAGAAACCUUUUGAGGGCCUGCAGGUCCAGGAUGGGCCUGAGACUGCCCUUCGCCUUGGGGAUCAGAAAAUAUCUGGAGUAGAAGCCUCUGCCCUGGAGUUCUACUGGUACUCUUUCGACUGCCCCCAGGUGCAUCAG